AACCCCGAGUUUUCAACCUGCUGGGGUUCCUGCCCGUGGAAUUAUCAUAGUGGUGGUGGUCUUCCCUGUGGGACUAUCUAAUGAAUACUUUGAAUUUACAAAUCUCUUUAUAGGCUGGUUUACAAAUUCCACGCUACCGGACUGGCUUAGUUUUUUUCCGUUAAGGGCUCCCGGGACUUGUGAACCCUCACUUCAAUUUAAUUUCACCCUCCGGAGAAUGGACCCGACCCAACCGAAUUCGGAGGGAUGGCUCUAUUUUCGUUCACGGGGCCAAGAACUUAGCAACACCAGUCAGUUGGAAAUAGAAUGGGCGAGCGGUUCGCAAAGUUUUGCGUUGCAGCGGAAUCACCUGCGAGGCUUGUAAAAACAACAACAAAAAAGAAAUUUCGGGGUCCCAGUACCCGAGUUUCGAAUAAAGUAGGUACUUGAGCUGUGAUGGUGCCGAAUUUCUGUGCCCCUUCAGUGUUGAACAUGCGGUCAUCAAAGAAGAUGUGGGGCCUUAUUUCCACCAAGAUGGGAUCUUUGGGAGCUCCAGCAAGGAAAAGAGCUUCAUCUAUCUCUAGACCCCAGCGGUGAAGGGUUUUCAGCACACGGGUUCCUGAACUGGCUGCACUUCUGGCUGUAAUCAGGUGCUGUUGUGAAGAAGACUGCGGACAGCUUGAACUUUUCCCCCUACUCGUGUAUGCCGGCUGCCCAUAUAAUCAUUUCUUCAUCUUUGAAGUUAAAUAAUUUUACUACGGCAUAUCUCAGUGAUGACCAUGCUAUUCUGUUUUUCUAUUACAUAAUGUGGCCUUUAAUCUUUUAACUGUUUAAUGUAUGAAUUAACAUUUUCUGAUAAUUCAGGAUGUUUUCUUGAUUUAUGUUUUUUUAUAUAAAUUUGUAUUUUGUAUAUACCACACAGAACUCUCUCUAGAAGAUAAUUUCACUGUUUUUCUUCAGGGAUUACAAUUAUGCCUAUGUUGGAUUUGCUU